rnacentral:rRNA from 1 species
GACGAACGCUGGCGGCGUGCUUAACACAUGCAAGUCGAACGCUGAAGCUCAGCUUUUGUUGGGUGGAUGAGUGGCGAACGGGUGAGUAACACGUGAGUAACCUGCCCCCUUCUUUGGGAUAACGCCCGGAAACGGGUGCUAAUACUGGAUAUUCACUGGUCUUCGCAUGGGGGUUGGUGGAAAGGGUUUUUCUGGUGGGGGAUGGGCUCGCGGCCUAUCAGCUUGUUGGUGGGGUGAUGGCCUACCAAGGCUUUGACGGGUAGCCGGCCUGAGAGGGUGACCGGUCACAUUGGGACUGAGAUACGGCCCAGACUCCUACGGGAGGCAGCAGUGGGGAAUAUUGCACAAUGGGGGCAAGCCUGAUGCAGCGACGCCGCGUGAGGGAUGGAGGCCUUCGGGUUGUGAACCUCUUUCGCUCAUGGUCAAGCCGCAACAAUGGUUGUGGUGAGGGUAGUGGGUAAAGAAGCGCCGGCUAACUACGUG